UACGGAGGGUGCAAGCGUUAUCCGGAUUUACUGGGUUUAAAGGGUGCGUAGGUGGGCGCGUAAGUCAGUGGUGAAAUCUCCGGGCUUAACCCGGAAACUGCCAUUGAUACUAUUUGUCUUGAAUACUUUGGAGGUAAGCGGAAUAUGUCAUGUAGCGGUGAAAUGCUUAGAUAUGACAUAGAACACCAAUUGCGAAGGCAGCUUACUACACAGUAAUUGACACUGAGAGACGAAAGCUAGGGGAGCGAAUGGG
rnacentral:rRNA from 1 species